UACGUAGGGUGCGAGCGUUGUCCGGAAUUAUUGGGCGUAAAGAGCUCGUAGGCGGUUUGUCGCGUCUAUCGUGAAAACUGGAGGCUUAACUUUCAGCGUGCGGUGGAUACGGGCAGACUUGAGUUCGGUAGGGGAGACUGGAAUUCCUGGUGUAGCGGUGAAAUGCGCAGAUAGUCAAGGGAGGAACACCGGUGGCGAAGGCGGGUCUCUGGGCCGAUACUGACGCUGGAGGAGCGAAAGCGUGGGGAGCGAACAGG
rnacentral:rRNA from 1 species